rnacentral:rRNA from 1 species
GACGAACGCUGGCGGCGUGCUUAACACAUGCAAGUCGAACGGUAAGGCCCUUCGGGGUACACGAGUGGCGAACGGGUGAGUAACACGUGAGCAACCUGCCCUUGACUCUGGGAUAACAGCUGGAAACAGCUGCUAAUACCGGAUACGACCUCUACGGGCAUCUGUGGAGGUGGAAAGCUCCGGCGGUCAAGGAUGGGCUCGCGGCCUAUCAGCUUGUUGGUGAGGUAACGGCUCACCAAGGCUUCGACGGGUAGCCGGCCUGAGAGGGCGACCGGCCACACUGGGACUGAGAUACGGCCCAGACUCCUACGGGAGGCAGCAGUGGGGAAUAUUGCACAAUGGGCGCAAGCCUGAUGCAGCAACGCCGCGUGCGGGAUGACGGCCUUCGGGUUGUAAACCGCUUUCACCCAUGACGAAGCGAAAGUGACGGUAGUGGGAGAAGAAGCACCGGCCAACUACGUGCCAGCCGCCGCCGUAAAAC